rnacentral:rRNA from 1 species
UCUGUGCCGGAGUUAACGCAAUAAGUACCCCGCCUGGGGAGUACGACCGCAAGGUUGAAACUCAAAGGAAUUGACGGGGGCCCGCACAAGCGGUGGAGUAUGUGGUUUAAUUCGACGCAACGCGAAGAACCUUACCAGGUCUUGACAUUGAUGGACAGAACCAGAGAUGGUUCCUCUUCUUCGGAAGGCAGAAAACAGGUGGUGCACGGUUGUCGUCAGCUCGUGUCGUGAGAUGUUGGGUUAAGUCCCGCAACGAGCGCAACCCCUAUCUUAUGUUGCCAGCACUUUGGGUGGGGACUCAUGAGAGACUGCCGCAGACAAUGCGGAGGAAGGCGGGGAUGACGUCAAAUCAUCAUGCCCCUUAUGACCUGGGCUACACACGUACUACAAUGGGAGUUAAUAGACGGAAGCGAGAUCGCGAGAUGGAGCAAACCCGAGAAACACUCUCUCAGUUCGGAUCGUAGGCUGCAACUCGCCUACGUGAAGUCGGAAUCGCUAGUAAUCGCAGGUCAGCAUACUGCGGUGGAUACGUUCCCGGGCCUUGUACACACCGCCCGUCACACCACGAAAGUCGGAAGUGCCCAAAGCCGGUGGGGUAACC